rnacentral:tRNA from 4 species
CGGGGCGUAGCGAAGUUUGGUAUCGCGCACGGUUCGGGACCGUGAGGUCGUAGGUUCAAAUCCUACCGCCCCGA